UACAGAGGGUGCGAGCGUUAAUCGGAAUUACUGGGCGUAAAGGGCGCGUAGGCGGCCUGUUAAGUCGAACGUGAAAUCCCCAGGCUCAACCUGGGAACUGCGUCCGAAACUGGCAGGCUUGAAUCCGGGAGAGGGAUGUGGAAUUCCAGGUGUAGCGGUGAAAUGCGUAGAUAUCUGGAGGAACAUCGGUGGCGAAGGCGACAUCCUGGACCGGUAUUGACGCUGAGGCGCGAAAGCCAGGGGAGCAAACGGG
rnacentral:rRNA from 1 species